rnacentral:rRNA from 1 species
GCGGCAGGCUUACACAUGCAAGUCGAGGGGCAGCGGGGAGUAGCAAUACUCCGCCGGCGACCGGCGGAAGGGUGCGUAACACGUGAGCAACCUGCCCGUGACCGGGGGAUAACCGGAGGAAACUCCGCCUAAUACCCCAUAACAACGGAUUCCACAUGGAGACCGUUUGAAAGCUACGACGGAUGCGGAUUGGCUCGCGUGACAUUAGCUAGUCGGCGGGGUAACGGCCCACCGAGGCGACGAUGUCUAGGGGUUCUGAGAGGAAGGUCCCCCACACUGGAACUGAGACACGGUCCAGACUCCUACGGGAGGCAGCAGUGAGGAAUAUUGGUCAAUGGGCGGAAGCCUGAACCAGCCAUGCCGCGUGAAGGAAUAAGGCCCUAUGGGUCGUAAACUUCUUUUGUGGUGGAGCAAUAAGGGCUACGCGUAGUCCGAUGAGAGUACAUCACGAAUAAGCAUCGGCUAACUCCGUGCCAGCAGCCGCGGUAAUACGGAGGAUGCAAGCGUUAUCCGGAUUUAUUGGGUUUAAAGGGUGCGUAGGCUGUGCCGCAAGUCGGGGGUGAAAGCCCGGGGCCCAACCCCGGAACUGCCCUUGAUACUGCGGCGCUGGAGUUCGGAUGCCGUGGGAGGAAUGAGUAGUGUAGCGGUGAAAUGCAUAGAUAUUACUCAGAACACCGAUUGCGAAGGCAUCUCACGAAUCCGACACUGACGCUGAGGCACGAAAGCGUGGGGAUCAAACAGGAUUAGAUACCCUGGUAGUCCACGCAGUAAACGAUGAUGACUAACUGUCGGCGAUAAACAGUC